rnacentral:rRNA from 1 species
GAGGAAUUUUGCGCAAUGGCCGCAAGGCUGACGCAGCAACGCCGCGUGGGUGAUGAAGGCCUUCGGGUCGUAAAGCCCUGUCAGGUGGGAAGAACAGCAUUCUCUCAAAUAGGGGGGGUGUUUGACGGUACCACCAGAGGAAGCACCGGCUAACUCCGUGCCAGCAGCCGCGGUAAUACGGAGGGUGCGAGCGUUAUUCGGAAUUACUGGGCGUAAAGCGCGUGCAGGCGGGAAGGUAAGUCUGAUGUGAAAGCCCCGGGCUCAACCCGGGAAGUGCAUUGGAAACUGCUUUUCUUGAGUACUGGAGAGGAAGGGGGAAUUCCCGGUGUAGAGGUGAAAUUCGUAGAGAUCGGGAGGAAUACCAGUGGCGAAGGCGCCCUUCUGGACGGUUACUGACGCUGAGACGCGAAAGCGUGGGGAGCAAAC